rnacentral:rRNA from 1 species
AAGCUGCGGCAGCGACACUGUGUGUUGUUGGGUAGGGGAGCGUUCUGUAAGCCUGUGAAGGUGUGUCGUGAGGCAUGCUGGAGGUAUCAGAAGUGCGAAUGCUGACAUAAGUAACGAUAAAGCGGGUGAAAAGCCCGCUCGCCGGAAGACCAAGGGUUCCUGUCCAACGUUAAUCGGGGCAGGGUGAGUCGACCCCUAAGGCGAGGCCGAAAGGCGUAGUCGAUGGGAAACGGGUUAAUAUUCCCGUACUUGGUGUUACUGCGAAGGGGGGACGGAGAAGGCUAUGUUGGCCGGGCGACGGUUGUCCCGGUUUAAGCGUGUAGGCUGGUUUUCCAGGCAAAUCCGGAAAAUCAAGGCUGAGGCGUGACGACGAGGCACUACGGUGCUGAAGCAACAAAUGCCCUGCUUCCAGGAAAAGCCUCUAAGCAUCAGGUAACAUCAAAUCGUACCCCAAACCGACACAGGUGGUCAGGUAGAGAAUACCAAGGCGCUUGAGAGAACUCGGGUGAAGGAACUAGGCAAAAUGGUGCCGUAACUUCGGGAGAAGGCACGCUGACACGUAGGUGAAGUGAUUUACUCAUGGAGCUGAAGUCAGUCGAAGAUACCAGCUGGCUGCAACUGUUUAUUAAAAACACAGCACUGUGCAAACACGAAAGUGGACGUAUACGGUGUGACGCCUGCCCGGUGCCGGAAGGUUAAUUGAUGGGGUCAGCGCAAGCGAAGCUCCUGAUCGAAGCCCCGGUAAACGGCGGCCGUAACUAUAACGGUCCUAAGGUAGCGAAAUUCCUUGUCGGGUAAGUUCCGACCUGCACGAAUGGCGUAAUGAUGGCCAGGCUGUCUCCACCCGAGACUCAGUGAAAUUGAACUCGCUGUGAAGAUGCAGUGUACCCGCGGCAAGACGGAAAGACCCCGUGAACCUUUACUAUAGCUUGACACUGAACAUUGAGCCUUGAUGUGUAGGAUAGGUGGGAGGCUUUGAAGCGUGGACGCCAGUCUGCGUGGAGCCGACCUUGAAAUACCACCCUUUAAUGUUUGAUGUUCUAACGUGGACCCGUAAUCCGGGUUGCGGACAGUGUCUGGUGGGUAGUUUGACUGGGGCGGUCUCCUCCUAAAGAGUAACGGAGGAGCACGAAGGUUGGCUAAUCCUGGUCGGACAUCAGGAGGUUAGUGCAAUGGCAUAAGCCAGCUUGACUGCGAGCGUGACGGCGCGAGCAGGUGCGAAAGCAGGUCAUAGUGAUCCGGUGGUUCUGAAUGGAAGGGCCAUCGCUCAACGGAUAAAAGGUACUCCGGGGAUAACAGGCUGAUACCGCCCAAGAGUUCAUAUCGACGGCGGUGUUUGGCACCUCGAUGUCGGCUCAUCACAUCCUGGGGCUGAAGUAGGUCCCAAGGGUAUGGCUGUUCGCCAUUUAAAGUGGUACGCGAGCUGGGUUUAGAACGUCGUGAGACAGUUCGGUCCCUAUCUGCCGUGGGCGCUGGAGAACUGAGGGGGGCUGCUCCUAGUACGAGAGGACCGGAGUGGACGCAUCACUGGUGUUCGGGUUGUCAUGCCAAUGGCACUGCCCGGUAGCUAAAUGCGGAAGAGAUAAGUGCUGAAAGCAUCUAAGCACGAAACUUGCCCCGAGAUGAGUUCUCCCUGAGACUU